GGAAGGGUGCCGGAGUGGACGAUCGGGGCGGUCUCGAAAACCGUUGUAGUCUUUUAGGCUACCGUGGGUUCGAAUCCCACCCCUUCCGCCU
rnacentral:tRNA from 1 species